rnacentral:rRNA from 1 species
AUUGAACGCUGGCGGCAUGCUUUACACAUGCAAGUCGAACGGCAGCGCGGGCUUCGGCCUGGCGGCGAGUGGCGAACGGGUGAGUAAUACAUCGGAACGUGUCCAGUAGUGGGGGAUAGCUCGGCGAAAGCCGGAUUAAUACCGCAUACGACCUGAGGGUGAAAGCGGGGGAUCUUCGGACCUCGCGCUAUUGGAGCGGCCGAUGGCAGAUUAGCUAGUUGGUGGGGUAAAGGCCUACCAAGGCGACGAUCUGUAGCUGGUCUGAGAGGACGACCAGCCACACUGGGACUGAGACACGGCCCAGACUCCUACGGGAGGCAGCAGUGGGGAAUUUUGGACAAUGGGCGAAAGCCUGAUCCAGCAAUGCCGCGUGUGUGAUGAAGGCCUUCGGGUUGUAAAGCACUUUUGGCGGGAACGAAAAGGACUGUGCCAAUACCACGGCUCGAUGACGGUACCCGCAGAAUAAGCACCGGCUAACUACGUG